rnacentral:lncRNA from 1 species
UGUUCUACCUCAGAGCUGUGUAAAAAGAAGAAGGAUGUGAGUUUGGCAGAUUACAAUGGAGGAGUCACCAAUACCAGUACCAACCCCUUUAGGAAGCAAGGCUUCAUCAGUCAGUCCCUCUGAACUGACCAAUGCUCUUCACAGACUAAGAAUCUGUCUCCUUCAUCUCCGAAGCUCUUCAGGUCUCUUCACACAGUGAACUGAAGGCGUUUGCUAUAGUAGGAGGCUGUGGCUACCCACAGAUGGUAAAGCCAUGUAGAUGGUUGUUCCAGGAAGAUACAAUUUUAGAGACCAUCCCACACUUCGCAAAAGGCAAAUUAAAAAUUUCGCAAUACAUGACAAACUACAGCCGGGAUCCUGCAACAUGGAACUGAUGUCAUUGACAGCGGCAAAUUCCUGCUUCUUUUUUCAAUGCUGGGUGUGUGCAACUUUGUAUCAUGGUGUACGAGUCAUACACAGCUGAAAAUUAAAGGCAGAGUUACACAACAGUGUACUGGCCUUUACUGUAUAGUUCUAAACAAUAUACAAAUAUACAUGAAAAGGGUUGCUGUAGGGCUC